CAUGACAAAGACAAUUCAUAACGAUUAUUAUGUGUGUUUUUUCAACGGGAAAACAUCGUAGGCGAAUGUCUUGUAUUAUGGACGUGCCCAUUUAUCAAUAGGGAAAGGGAAGGGCGAUACGGUUAAGGAAGAUAACUCUAGUUGACUUUUGGUCACUUUCAUGUUUGAAACUUCAAGUGAUUUCUGUUUUAGUUCUUAAUUGAAACUGUAAUCACGACUGAAAUGGAUGUACCCACCAUUCAUUUAAGUCUCGCCAGAUUUGAUUUCAUGUGUGUCAAAUCAAAAGUUAUUCAUAUUUCAGACAGAUCUACGACAGUCCUGUUGCAGCAACAUUUUCUGACUGAAUUGUUCCAGCUCUGCUUACAAUUUACAUGACAGAUCUACGACAGUCCUGUUGCAGCAACAUUUUCUGACUGAUCUGUUCCAGCUCUGCUUACAAUUUACAUGACAGAUCUACGACAGUCCUGUUGCAGCAACAUUUUCUGACUGAACUGUUCCAGCUCUGCUUACAAUUUACAUGACAGAUCUACGACAGUCCUGUUGCAGCAACAUUUUCUGACUGAACUGUUCCAGCUCUGCUUACAAUUUACAUGACAGAUCUACGACAGUCCUGUUGCAGCAACAUUUUCUGACUGAACUGUUCCAGCUCUGCUUACAAUUUACAUGACAGAUCUACGACAGUCCUGUUGCAGCAACAUUUUCUGACUGAACUGUUCCAGCUCUGCUUACGUGACAGGAUGCC